rnacentral:rRNA from 1 species
CCAGCGGCGAUGCUACGCCGUAUGGGGGAUGGUUCGGCUAGAGCGCUGAAGAGGGUCGUGUCAAGCAGCGAUAUGCGUCGGGUAGGUGCAAGAAGCCUAUGAUCCGACGAUUACCUAAUGGGACUUCCUAUUCUUCGGAAUGAUCAGUAAUGAUCGGGAACGCGGGGGAUUGAAGCAUCUUAGUACCCGCAGGAAAAGAAAUCAAUCGAGAUACCGUUAUUAAAGGCGAUCGAACGCGGUAUAGGGCAAACUGAAUCCCUUAUCGAAAGGUAAGGGAGAUGUGGUGUUGCAGGCUCAUUUACUCCUUAGCUCAAAUACUCGAACUUGUCUGGAAAGACAGGCCGUAGAGGGUGAUAGCCCCUUAGAGGAAAGUGAGUAUGGAGAUUUUUGAUGUCCUUGAGUAGUCUGUGUUGGAUAUCACGGAUGAAUUUGGGAGGCAUUCACUUCCAACCCUAAAUACGUCUCUAGUCCGAUAGUGCAGUAGUAGCGUGAGCGAAGACUGAAAAGUACCCUUAACGGGAGGUCAAAAGACCUGAAACCAUACGGUCAAAGAUUUAUAUGGCAUCAAAGGGAAGAAACCAAUUUGGUGGACCAGUGUUAUAUUGUUCGUUUCGAAAAACGAUCCAGGGAGUUCUGGUCAUUGGCGAGGUUAACUAUUCAAUUAGGGAGCCGAAGGGAAACCGAUUGUCCGCAGUUUUUUACGAGGGACAUCGUGUGCUCGCGAGGAGUCAAUGGUGCGGAUACCCGAAGCCGGUCGAUCUAUGCCUGAGCAGCUUGAAGCCCCUCGAAGGGGGGGUGGAGGAGCGAACCAGUUCUGAUGUGCAAAUCGUUUGGAUGACUUGGGUAUAGGGGUGAAAGGCCAAUCUAGGCCGGAAAUAGCUGG